rnacentral:rRNA from 1 species
UUUGGAGAAUUUGAUCCUGGCUCAGAACGAACGCUGGCGGCAGGCUUAACACAUGCAAGUCGAGCGCCCCGCAAGGGGAGCGGCAGACGGGUGAGUAACGCGUGGGAACGUACCAUUUGCUACGGAAUAACUCAGGGAAACUUGUGCUAAUACCGUAUGUGCCCUUCGGGGGAAAGAUUUAUCGGCAAAUGAUCGGCCCGCGUUGGAUUAGCUAGUUGGUGGGGUAAAGGCUCACCAAGGCGACGAUCCAUAGCUGGUCUGAGAGGAUGAUCAGCCACACUGGGACUGAGACACGGCCCAGACUCCUACGGGAGGCAGCAGUGGGGAAUAUUGGACAAUGGGCGCAAGCCUGAUCCAGCCAUGCCGCGUGAGUGAUGAAGGCCCUAGGGUUGUAAAGCUCUUUCACCGGUGAAGAUAAUGACGGUAACCGGAGAAGAAGCCGGCUAYCU